rnacentral:rRNA from 1 species
UACGAAGGGGGCUAGCGUUGCUCGGAAUCACUGGGCGUAAAGCGCACGUAGGCGGAUCGUUAAGUCAGGGGUGAAAUCCUGGAGCUCAACUCCAGAACUGCCUUUGAUACUGAGAAGCUUGAGUCCGGGAGAGGUGAGUGGAACUGCGAGUGUAGAGGUGAAAUUCGUAGAUAUUCGCAAGAACACCAGUGGCGAAGGCGGCUCACUGGCCCGGUACUGACGCUGAGGUGCGAAAGCGUGGGGAGCAAACAGG